rnacentral:lncRNA from 1 species
CACAAACGAAAAUCUCUCUGCAUACGAAAAUAUUCUUCCCAGUUUUCCACGCAGUGUCUUUUUUCUCAGUUCUAGUUUCCAUACAGUGUAGUCUCUAUUCCCUUCCAGUCACGUGCAGUUUACCAGAGUAGGACCGCGGUGCUCGGAUUCUGCUUAUUACAGUUGUAUCCUGAGAGACAGCCACUCGAAUUGAACCUCCAGCACCUACGGCGAGGGGGCGAAACUGUCUUAAGGAAACUGUGCACGCACAGGCCUCGGUUUGAAAUCUGCUGCAGUUUGUGUUUUCUUUUUGCAGAUUUAUUUCGUUGCAGUUCGUGUAGUUUCUUUGCAGAUUCAGUUUAUCCUUGCAGUUUCAGUUUUCAUUUAUUUCUACAGAUUAUUUUCGCAUCAGUUUCCAUUUAUUUCUGAAGAUUAUUUUCGCAUUACUAUUUAAUUCAUGCAGUUUGUAGUUCCAUAGUGUGCAACUUCCAGAUUCAUCGUUUACAGUUUUAGCCUGCAGUUAACUUAUAUUUCUGAUUUUAUGUUGCUAAACAUUUUUUUCAGCCAUUGGAAAAUUCUGAAACGGAAUCUUUUUUUAUAAAUUGAAAUCGUUUGUCUUGUGGUUGUUAAUUUCAAUAGUCGGAUAUUGCAUUUGAAUAAAACUUAUACAAUUGGUUUCAUCCACUAACGACUUGUUUUUCUACAAAAAUUAAUACUUUUCAUAUGAUUUUUUAGAAGGACCUUACAUUUAGGAUAUAUAAGUCUAAUUUCCUCCAUUAAAAACUGGCACUCAUUGAAUGUGUAGGUUAAGAAUAAUUACACAAAACAUUGACAAUGAGAAUUUGGAAAUUCAUUUCAAAUAGUCAUAUCAGACAGCACGACACGUCUACUAAGACAUUUACACGUUAUAAGCAAAAAAUUAUAAUUAAGAUUUAAUUGUAUUGAUUUGAUUUGAUGAUAAUUGAUAAGACUAUCAGGUCUUUGGUCGGAAUUUUUUCACGUACUUUGAGGAAGAUUUUGCAAAAUCCUGGUCACAUGACCACAUGGUGGGCCAAGAAAAAGCUCAGCCCAAUGUGGGCCCACUCGAGUGAAUAGAGUAAGCCCACUUGCACUGCCGACUGAUUCGCACACAAUUCUGAAAGAGACACCUGGGGUGAUACGUCACAGUCGAAUAGCUGCUAAUGCGGUGGCGUAGCACGGUGGCCCACCGCCACUUGCCGCCGUGUGUCGUGGAGUUUUGUUUGGUGGUGGACUUUUCGUGUCACGGCACAAUUAUUGUGUUAAGAUCGUAAUCAUACUACUGAUAAUUAUGGCUGCUGAUUAAGCAAUCAUCAUCUCUGUAUUUUUGUUGUAGUUCAUGAAUGUUUGGAAAGACCGUGUUUGGCUGAGCUUAAAAUGCUUUAAGUUCCC